rfam:Drosophila simulans chrT_M_1667 genomic scaffold, whole genome shotgun sequence.
GCAUAAACUUCGCAAAAUAAUGGUUAUAUAUAAAGGGCUAUGAGGAUGGUUUUAGUACGUAGGCGUUGCGGAACUUCGGUUCAGAUAGAGCAAUGAAUCGUGCAUGCUAGGAAAACUGACCACACGCAGUGUUGGCAGCCCUAGUAUCUUUCGAUAGAUUUCCAUACCUCCGCGAUC